rnacentral:rRNA from 1 species
UACGUAGGGUGCAGGCGUUAAUCGGAAUUACUGGGCGUAAAGCGUGCGCAGGCGGUUUGCUAAGACAGGUGUGAAAUCCCCGGGCUUAACCUGGGAACUGCGCUUGUUACUGGCAAGCUUGAGUGUGGCAGAGGGGGGUGGAAUUCCACGUGUAGCAGUGAAAUGCGUAGAGAUGUGGAGGAACACCGAUGGCGAAGGCAGCCCCCUGGGCUAACACUGACGCCU